AGCGAACGCUGGCGGCAGGCUUAACACAUGCAAGUCGAACGGGCAUAGCAAUAUGUCAGUGGCAGACGGGUGAGUAACGCGUGGGAACGUACCUUUUGGUUCGGAACAACACAGGGAAACUUGUGCUAAUACCGGAUAAGCCCUUACGGGGAAAGAUUUAUCGCCGAAAGAUCGGCCCGCGUCUGAUUAGCUAGUUGGUAGGGUAAUGGCCUACCAAGGCGACGAUCAGUAGCUGGUCUGAGAGGAUGAUCAGCCACAUUGGGACUGAGACACGGCCCAAACUCCUACGGGAGGCAGCAGUGGGGAAUAUUGGACAAUGGGCGAAAGCCUGAUCCAGCCAUGCCGCGUGAGUGGUGAAGGCCCUAGGGUUGUAAAGCUCUUUUGUGCGGGAAGAUAAUGACGGUACCGCAAGAAUAAGCCCCGGCUAACUUCGUG
rnacentral:rRNA from 1 species